rnacentral:rRNA from 1 species
AGGACGAACGCUGGCGGCGUGCCUAACACAUGCAAGUCGAGCGGAAAGGCCUCCUUCGGGAGGUACUCGAGCGGCGAACGGGCGAGUAACACGUGGGCAACCAACCCCUCACAUCGGGAUACCCCGGGGAAACUCGGAUCAAUACCGGAUAAUGCGCGACGCUGUUGGGCGUCGCACCAAAGGUAGCUUCGGCCUCUGGUGAGGGACGGGCCCGCGGCCCAUUAGCUUGUUGGUGGGGUAAUGGCCUACCAAGGCAACGAUGGGUAGCUGGUCUGAGAGGGCGACCGGCCACACUGGGACUGAGACACGGCCCAGACUCCUACGGGAGGCAGCAGUGGGGAAUAUUGCACAAUGGGCGAAAGCCUGAUGCAGCGACGCCGCGUGAGGGAUGACGGCCUUCGGGUUGUAAACCUCUUCAGCAGGGACGAAGCGAAGUGACGGUACCUGCAGAAGAAGCACGGCUAACUACGCGCCAGCAGCCGC